rnacentral:misc_RNA from 1 species
GAAAUGCGAUAAGUAGUGUGAAUUGCAGAAUUCAGUGAAUCAUCGAAUCUUUGAACGCACAUUGCGCCCCUCGGUAUUCCGUGGGGCAUGCCUGUUCGAGCGUCAUCUACACCCUCAAGCUCUGCUUGGUGUUGGGCGUCUGUCCCGCCUCCUUCGCGCGCGGACUCGCCCCAAAUCCAUUGGCGGCGGCCCUUGCCUCCCUCUCGCGCAGCACAUUGCGCUUCUCGAGGCGCGGCGGACCGCGUCCAGCAAGCAACCGUCACACCGUCUUUAACCUCGGAUCAGGUAGGGAUACCCGCUGAACUUAAGC